GCAUGCUUUCACAUGCAAGUCGAACGGCAGCGCGGGCUUCGGCCUGGCGGCGAGUGGCGAACGGGUGAGUAAUAUAUCGGAACGUACCCAGAAGUGGGGGAUAACGUAGCGAAAGUUACGCUAAUACCGCAUACGAUCUACGGAUGAAAGCAGGGGACCUUCGGGCCUUGUGCUUUUGGAGCGGCCGAUAUCUGAUUAGCUAGUUGGUGAGGUAAGAGCUCACCAAGGCGACGAUCAGUAGCUGGUCUGAGAGGACGACCAGCCACACUGGAACUGAGACACGGUCCAGACUCCUACGGGAGGCAGCAGUGGGGAAUUUUGGACAAUGGGGGCAACCCUGAUCCAGCAACGCCGCGUGAGUGAAGAAGGCCUUCGGGUUGUAAAGCUCUUUUGUCAGGGAAGAAAAGGCGGUGGCUAAUAUCCAUCGCUGCUGACGGUACCUGAAGAAUAAGCACCGGCUAACUACGUGCCAGCAGCCGCGGUAAUACGUAGGGUGCAAGCGUUAAUCGGAAUUACUGGGCGUAAAGCGUGCGCAGGCGGUUUCGUAAGUCUGAUGUGAAAUCCCCGGGCUCAACCUGGGAAUUGCAUUGGAGACUGCGAGGCUAGAAUCUGGCAGAGGGGAGUAGAAUUCCACGUGUAGCAGUGAAAUGCGUAGAGAUGUGGAGGAACACCGAUGGCGAUUCUGGGCGUAAAGCGUGCGCAGGCGGUUUCGUAAGUCUGAUGUGAAAUCCCCGGGCUCAACCUGGGAAUUGCAUUGGAGACUGCGAGGCUAGAAUCUGGCAGAGGGGAGUAGAAUUCCACGUGUAGCAGUGAAAUGCGUAGAGAUGUGGAGGAACACCGAUGGCGAAGGCAGCCCCCUGGGUCAAGAUUGACGCUCAUGCACGAAAGCGUGGGGAGCAAACAGGAUUAGAUACCCUGGUAGUCCACGCCCUAAACGAUGUCUACUAGUUGUCGGGUUUUAAUUAACUUGGUAACGCAGCUAACGCGUGAAGUAGACCGCCUGGGGAGUACGGUCGCAAGAUUAAAACUCAAAGGAAUUGACGGGGACCCGCACAAGCGGUGGAUGAUGUGGAUUAAUUCGAUGCAACGCGAAAAACCUUACCUACCCUUGACAUGUCAGGAAGUCUGGAGAGAUCUGGAUGUGCCCGAAAGGGAGCCUGAACACAGGUGCUGCAUGGCUGUCGUCAGCUCGUGUCGUGGAUUAAUUCGAUGCAACGCGAAAAACCUUACCUACCCUUGACAUGUCAGGAAGUCUGGAGAGAUCUGGAUGUGCCCGAAAGGGAGCCUGAACACAGGUGCUGCAUGGCUGUCGUCAGCUCGUGUCGUGAGAUGUUGGGUUAAGUCCCGCAACGAGCGCAACCCUUGUCAUUAGUUGCUACGCAAGAGCACUCUAAUGAGACUGCCGGUGACAAACCGGAGGAAGGUGGGGAUGACGUCAAGUCCUCAUGGCCCUUAUGGGUAGGGCUUCACACGUCAUACAAUGGUACAUACAGAGGGCCGCCAACCCGCGAGGGGGAGCUAAUCCCAGAAAGUGUGUCGUAGUCCGGAUCGUAGUCUGCAACUCGACUACGUGAAGUUGGAAUCGCUAGUAAUCGCGGAUCAGCAUGCCGCGGUGAAUACGUUCCCGGGUCUUGUACACACCGCCCGUCACACCAUGGGAGCGGGUUUUACCAGAAGUAGGUAGCUUAACCGCAAGGAGGGCGCUUACCACGGUAGGAUUCGUGAC
rnacentral:rRNA from 1 species